rnacentral:lncRNA from 12 species
AUGUCUUCCUCAUCUCUAAGCUCUUUAUCUCUAGGUGCUCCACUUAUGCCAUGGGUCCUGGCACAUGGUUUCAAGGAAGCCGGGAAACUAUUGAUGACAAUGCUUAUCCAUCCACAAAUCCGGGUGCAGGUGAGAAGAAGGAUAGGCAACUUCCCAAUGUCAAUAAAAAUGAUUUUUUUUGGGAUAUAUCUCAGCCAGGAUAAUUUGUUGCAAUUCUAUCUUUCUCUUUAUCUUACCUAUUUCUGCCCCCAAAGGUAUCUUGUUGCUUCGCAAAUGCUAUUAAACAUGGCAAACACCACACUGGUUCUACUUUUGGGUCUACCGUAUAUAAUCGUUUAGUUUAGGCAUUGGGCGGGAGGAGCCCGAGGGGUGCUGUUUCUGUAGACUCUGACGUAGACCAGGUGACACUCAGAGGGGGUAGCCACUUUCUCUUCAGCCAGCACCAUCCCAAGAAGCUAUUUCCUCAUCCCCAGGGUCUAGACUAGGCCCAGACAAAGUGAAUAAGGACCUGGAUGCUCAAAUCAAAGUGAGAUUUGGGUGGCUUCCUCUAUAGUCCUCAUGACACCCCCCUUCCCCUUCAGGAAGUUGACAGUCCCUUGUAUCCCUCACCAUGUGCAAUCACAUGGAAGGUCUACUUCCUCCUCCCCCUCCUCCUCUAUUCUCUAUAGUACUUUAGUUCUCUUGGGCUUUCCCUGUUUGCACCUGGGUUCCCCCUCCUUCGUUCCCAUUGGUUCUGGUGGGGAGUGGGGUUUAGUUUGAACCAGUUCCAUUUGGGGAACUGGGGGAAACUGAGGAUAUCAGAACAACAUCUACAGUUUAUAAUAUGUUAAUUUCUUCAUUUUCAUCAUCGUACUCUGGUAUGUAAAGUGCAAACAUUGGGGAGGACUGCGUGUAGAACAUAUGAGAACUCUCUUCACUAUCUUUACUUCUGCAGUUUAAAUGUUAUUUUAAAAUAAAAUAUUUUUAAAAAGAUUUUAUU